rfam:Gossypium raimondii Chr13_contig_57, whole genome shotgun sequence.
UAUUAAAAAUUCCAUUCAUUUGUACUAUAAAAAACUAGCGUAAUUGACAGAAUAACCAAAAAGUGUCACGUGACAUACCAUGUAUACCUCAUGCUAAUAUAAAGAGACUAAUUUUUAAUAUCAGAAAUGGAUGAAAUUUUUAACA